ensembl:lncRNA
GUCACGGCGACAGUAAAUAACUCAUGGAUGCCCGUCGUCACGGCGGCAGUAAAUGACUCCUGGAUGCCCGUCGUCAUGGCGACAGUACCUAAAUGACUCCUGGUCCAGUUUUUUUCAUUGUUUGUUUUCUGCUUCUCUGCGUUUCUUUGUGGAUUUUGUUUGUCUAUUUUUUGGCCCUGGGCUUAGACUGUGUGUGUGCGUGUGUAUGUGUGUGUGUGUUUGUGUGUCUGCGUGCAUGUGUGUGUGUGCAUGUGUGUGCGUGCGUGUGUGUGUGAGAACACAUAGCUUAUGACAGGCCAGUGGUCUUCAGCCCAUUUCCAAAGCAGAUCAGUGAUGAGUUCAUUUAUCUUCACUCAAACACAAUGAUGAUGAUGAUGAUGAUGAUGAUGAUGAUGAUGAUGAUGAUGAUGAGUUCAUUUAUCGUCUGGGCGGAGUCAAACAUAGCCCACUCAAACACAAUGAUGAUGAUGAUGAUGUUCGAAAGCAACACUUUCUGUAUAUUUUUUAAAUAUAAAUACUUAUUUUUUAAUAUCGGGGAAUCAUUUCAAUUAGGUGUGCUAGAUGCACAGUGACCUAGGUGUGUGUGUGUGUGUGUUUCUGUACUAGAUGCACAGAUGUCAUUUAAAAAGGUUCUGUGACCAUGUGUCUGUGUGUGUGUGAGAGUGUGAGAGUGUGUGUGUGAGUGUGUGAGUGUGUGUGUGUGUGUGUGAGAGAGAGAGAGACUGUGUGUGUGUGUGUGUGUGUGUGUGAGAGUGUGUGUGUGUGUGUGUGUGAGAGUGUGUGAGUGUGUGUGUGUGUUUGUGUGUGUGAGAGAGUGUGUUUGUGAGAGAGUGUGUGUGUGUGUGUGUGUGUGUGUGAAAGAGUGUGUGUGUGUGUGUGUGUGUGUGUGUGUGUGUGUGUGUGUCCCUACCCAUCACAUGGCUCCAUCCUCUGGGUCUCUCCUCAGCUGUGUUAACACAAUAUAUUAUAUUUGUAUGUUUUUUUAUUUUUUUAUUUAUUUUUCUAUUCUUGCCUUUUGAGUGGCAGUCUCUGGUGUUCCCGUGUGUGUUCCUCUCUCUGCGGAGUGUACCGGUGUGUGUUCCCCCACCCAGCCGUGAGGCUCUCUCUCGCCCAGGCCGGGAAGAGCGUUGUGGGGCACCUCUUGGGCACCUCUUGGGCACCUCUGGGGCACCUCUGGGGCAACUCUGGGGCAACUCUGGGGCAACUCUUGGGCACCUCUUGGGCAACUCUGGGGCACCUCUGCCUUCCUGCCCGAUGGGUGUCAGACUGGCCUCCUCUGGCGUUAAGCUAUUCCUGAAGGUCAGAGCGUGAGCGCGUAGGCACUUCCUGCUCCUCCUCUACUCCCUCCUCCUCCAUUUUAGGGUCACAGAGCUCCUAGGUGGUUUGCUAGCUGCUGGCGUUCCUGUGGUCCCUAGAGCUUCUGGAUCCAUCCCAUAAUAACCCAACGGGUCAGCGACACAUCAGCAGCCCCGUGCCCAGCCCACCUCAGCACACAGCCAGCAGGAUGUUAGCAGCUCAGCGCUGGGGCUAACUCAGUGCUAACUCAGCGCUGGGGCUAACUCAGUGCUAACUUAGCGCUGGGGCUAACUCAGUGCUAACUCAGUGCUAACUCAUUCAUAACUUAGCGCUGGGGCUAACUCAGUGCUAACUCAGUGCUAACUCAGUGCUAACUCAUUCAUAACUUAGCGCUGGGGCUAACUCAGUGCUAACUCAGUGCUAACUCAGUGCUAACUCAGUGCAAACUCAUUCAUAACUUAGCGCCGGGGCUAACUCAGUGUGUGCUGACUGCUGAGGUGAGGGGUGUGUUUUGGCACUCCCAGCAGCCUUGGAGCUCAGAGGGGUGUGUGUGAGGUGAGGGGUGUGUCUGAGGUGAGGUGUGGGUGGAGCUCAGAGGGGUGUGUGUGAGGUGUGGGUGGAGCUCAGAGGGGUGUGUCUGAGGUGAGGGGUGUGUCUGAGGUGUGGGUGGAGCUCAGAGGGGUGUGUCUGAGGUAAGGGGUGUGUCUGAGGUGUGGCGUAGGAUGUCCAAACACCUCCCCCUCCCUUUCUCUCUCUAUCUAUCUGCUCCUCUUCUGGCUCAGAUCUGGCUGGUAUCUGGCUGGGAUCUGCUCCACUGUCAGGGAUCUUUCCGGAGGUUUCCCAGCGGAGCAGUCCAAAGCCUUCAGCACAGAGUCACAGAGUGUGUGUGUGUGUGUGUGUGUGUGUGUGUGUGUGUGUGUGGGAUCUUUCCGGAUGGUUCCCAGCGGAGCAGUCCAAAGCCUUCAGCACAGAGUCAACCCUGUGAUGCUAAUGUGGACAUAGAAACCUUUCACCUUUCACCUUUCACCUUUCACCUUUAACCUUUCCGUGAAUGUUUCUCAUAUCCUUGUUUCUGUCUUUGUUUCCUGACGUGGUACUUGUAAAAUACCGCAAGUAAAAGUAAAGAAAUGCCUGCUUUUUUAAUAUUAAUAUAUGUACACACACACACGCACACACACGCACACAGUACAAGACAUUCUCUGCUUUUUUUAUAUUAAUAUAUGUAUGUACAAGACAUUCUCUGCUUCAUCUAGCCUUCUCUCAAGUGCGCCAUUGUACUUCUCCUCCUCUCCUCUACUCUCCUCUUCUUCUCCUCUCCUCUACUCUCCUUCUCCUCUCCUCCUCUCCUCCAGUGCACUUUCCUCCUCUCCUCCUCUCCUCUCUCCUCCUCUCCUCCAGUGCACUUUCCUCCUCUCCUUCUCUCCUCCUCUCCUUCUCUCCUCUUCUCCUCCUCUUCUCUUCUUCUCCAGUGCACUCUCCUCUUCUCCUCCUCUUCUCUUCUUCUCCAGUGCACUCUCCUCUUCUCCUCCUCUCCUCUCCUCUUGUCUCUUGUCUGUCGUUCUUCUCCUCAUUCCUUCUUCACUCAUUCCAACUGUUGACAGAAUGUUCCAGAUAAAAAUGUUAUCUUUUUAAUGUACAUAUGUUUUGUAUAUGCUUUUGCAAGUGCAUCAAAUCUGUUUUUUUUUCACAUUCAAAACUGUCAUACGUGCCUGUUCUGCAAUAAAGCCUUAUUUUC